rnacentral:piRNA from 1 species
UGAUAUAUAAGCUCAUGUGGAUAGUG